rnacentral:rRNA from 1 species
UACAGAGGUGGCAAGCGUUGUUCGGAAUUACUGGGCGUAAAGGGCGCGUAGGCGGUUCGUUAAGUCCUGUGUGAAAUCCCCCGGCUCAACUGGGGAACUGCACAGGAAACUAGCGGGCUUGAGUUCGGGAGAGGGAAGCGGAAUUCCGGGUGUAGCGGUGAAAUGCGUAGAGAUCGGGAGGAACAUCCGUGGCGAAGGCGGCCAUCUGGAUCAACACUGACGCUGAGGCACGAAAGCGUGGGGAGCAAACAGG